GGAAAGUUUUAUUUUAGCUUAAAAUUUAGGUUUAGCUUUAUUCUACAUGCAAGUUCAAGCGUUUAGGUUAAGUUUAAAUAAUUUAAUAAAUAUAUUGCAGUGGAAAAAUUUAAAUAUCAAUGUUAGUUGGAGUUUAGGAAAGGCUAAAAAUAUUAACAUAGCUUGUGCCAGCAGUUGCGGUUACACAAGCAAUAUUACUUAAAUUUUUCGGUAUCAGUAAGUUUGUAUACUUACUUAUAGAGGUAAUUUUUUAGGUGAAAUUUUAAAUUACUAUAAGGUUAAUGUUGUUAGGCAAGGCUGGGAAACUCAAUUUUAAACUAGGAUUAGAUACCCUAUUAUUAAGAGCGUGAAUUAAUUUACUGGGUUAGUAUUAGUUUUGUUCUUGAAAAUUAAAAGAUUUGGCGGUAUUUUAGUCCAUUCAGAGGAACCUGUCCUAUAAUCGAUGGUCCACGAUUUUACUUACUUUUUUUAAUUGUUUGCAUAUCGUCGUAGUUUGAGCAUGCUUUUAGGCAUUAAAUGCUCAAGUUUCUUUUUAGGGGGAAUAUCAGAUCAAGGUGUAGCGUAUAGAAAAGGAGAGAUGGGUUACAAUAAAAUUAUUUAGAAGGAUUUUUAUAUUUAGAUAUAGGAUGAAUUUGGAUUUGAAUGUAAAUUUAAUUAAAUUAUUAGGUUGAUUUAGGCUCUAGAAUAUGCACAUAUCGCCCGUCGCUUUCACUUUAAGGUGAAAUAAGUCGUAACAUAGUAGGCCUACCGGAAGGUGGGCCUAGAUAGAC
rnacentral:ncRNA from 1 species